rnacentral:tRNA from 1 species
UCCCUGAUGGUCCAGUGGUUAGGACUCUGUGCUUUCACUGUUGAGGGCCCAGGUUUGAUCUCUGGUUAGGGAA